GCCGGGUGUGGUGGUGCGUGCCUGUAAUCCCAGCUACCUGGGAGGCUGAGGCACGAGAAUCACUUGAACCCAGGAGGCAGAGGUUGUAGUGAGCCGAGAUCGCACCAUUGCACUCCAGCCUGGGUGACAGAGUGAGAUCCUGUCUCAA
rnacentral:SRP_RNA from 2 species